rnacentral:rRNA from 1 species
CUACCGGGGUAUCUAAUCCUGUUUGCUCCCCACGCUUUCGCAUCUCAGCGUCAGUACCGGGCCAGUGAGCCGCCUUCGCCACUGGUGUUCUUGCGAAUAUCUACGAAUUUCACCUCUACACUCGCAGUUCCACUCACCUCUCCCGGACUCAAGGUCUCCAGUAUCAAGGGCAGUUCCAAGGUUGAGCCUUGGCAUUUCACCCCUGACUUAAAGACCCGCCUACAUGCGCUUUACGCCCAGUGAUUCCGAACAACGCUAGCCCCCUUCGUAUUACCGCGGCUGCUGGCAC